AUUGAACGCUAGCGGGAUGCCUUACACAUGCAAGUCGAACGGAGUGGCUAACGGGUGAGUAAUGUAUCGGAACGUGCCCAGUAGCGGGGGAUCACUCCGCGAAAGCGUAGCUCAUCCCGCAUACUAUUGGAGCGGCCGAUAGCGGCUUAGCGAGUUGGUGGGGUAACGGCUCACCAGGGAGACGAUCCGUAGCUGGUUUGAGAGGACGACCAGCCACACUGGGAAUGAGACACGGCCCAGACUCUUACGGUAGGAAGCAGUGGGGAAUUUUGGAAAAUGGGGGAAACCCGGAUCCAGCCAUCCCGCGUGUGCGAUGAAGGCCUUCGGGUUGGAAAGCACUUUUGGCAGGAAAGCGGUACCUGCAGAAUAAGCACCGGCUAACUACGUGCCAGCAGCCGCGGUAAUAC
rnacentral:rRNA from 1 species